AUUGAACGCUGGCGGCAGGCCUAACACAUGCAAGUCGAGCGAGCGGCGGACGGGUGAGUAAUGUAUGGGGACUGCCCGCUAGAGGGGGAUAACUACUGGAAACGGUGGCUAAUACCGCAUACUAUCGGAUAACCCAUAUGGGAUUAGCUAGUAGGGGGGGUAAAGGCUCACCUAGGCGACGAUCUCUAGCUGGUCUGAGAGGAUGAUCAGCAAAACGGGGACUGAGAAACGGCCCAGACUCCUACGGAGGCAGCAGGGGGGAAUAUUGCACAAUGGGCGCAAGCCGGAUGCAGCCAGGCCGCGGAUAUGAGGAGGGCCGUAGGGUGGGAAAGUACGUUCAGCGGGGAGGCGUUACCCGCAGAAGAAGCACCGGCUAACUCCGUGCCAGCAGCCGCGGUAAUAC
rnacentral:rRNA from 1 species